GAUGAACGCUGGCGGCGUGCUUAACACAUGCAAGUCGAACGAUGAAGCCCAGCUUGCUGGGUGGAUUAGUGGCGAACGGGUGAGUAACACGGGAGUAACCUGCCCUUAACUCUGGGAUAAGCCUGGGAAACUGGGUCUAAUACCGGAUAGGAGCGUCCACCGCAUGGUGGGUGUUGGAAAGAUUUAUCGGUUUUGGAUGGACUCGCGGCCUAUCAGCUUGUUGGUGAGGGAAUGGCUCACCAAGGCGACGACGGGUAGCCGGCACGAGAGGGUGACCGGCCACACGGGGACUGAGAGACGGCCCAGACUCGUACGGGAGGCAGCAGUGGGGAAUAUUGCACAAUGGGCGCAAGCCUGAUGCAGAGACGCCGGGUGAGGGAUGACGGCCUUCGGGUUGUAAACCUCUUUCAGUAGGGAAGAAGCGAAAGUGACGGUACCUGCAGAAGAAGCACCGGCUAACUACGUG
rnacentral:rRNA from 1 species